rnacentral:rRNA from 1 species
UACAGGGGGUGCAAACGUUGCUCGGAAUUAUUGGGCGUAAAGAGCUCGUAGGCGGUCUGUCGCGUCGGCUGUGAAAACCCGGGGCUCAACCCCGGGCCUGCAGUCGAUACGGGCAGACUAGAGUGCGGUAGGGGAGACUGGAAUUCCUGGUGUAGCGGUGAAAUGCGCAGAUAUCAGGAGGAACACCGGUGGCGAAGGCGGGUCUCUGGGCCGUAACUGACGCUGAGGAGCGAAAGCGUGGGGAGCGAACAGG